AGUGAACGCUGGCGGUAGGCCUAACACAUGCAAGUCGAACGGCAGCACAGUAAGAGCUUGCUCUUACGGGUGGCGAGUGGCGGACGGGUGAGGAAUACAUCGGAAUCUACUUUUUCGUGGGGGAUAACAUAGGGAAACUGACGCUAAUACCGCAUACGACCUACGGGUGAAAGCAGGGGAUCUUCGGACCUUGCGCGAUUGAAUGAGCCGAUGUCGGAUUAGCUAGUUGGCGGGGUAAAGGCCCACCAAGGCGACGAUCCGUAGCUGGUCUGAGAGGAUGAUCAGCCACACUGGAACUGAGACACGGUCCAGACUCCUACGGGAGGCAGCAGUGGGGAAUAUUGGACAAUGGGCGCAAGCCUGAUCCAGCCAUACCGCGUGGGUGAAGAAGGCCUUCGGGUUGUAAAGCCCUUUUGUUGGGAAAGAAAAGCAGCAGGUUAAUACCCCGCUGUUCUGACGGUACCCAAAGAAUAAGCACCGGCUAACUUCGUG
rnacentral:rRNA from 1 species